CAUAGAGCUCAACAGUGUGAUUCCAGAAGUAAAAAUCCUGUUGAUUUUCUCCAUAAGGAUUUGAUUAUCAGCCAUAAUGUCAAAACCAUCCGAGGCAGACUGACCACGAGCUGUGAGGUUGUAUAACGAAAGUUUCUGCUCUUGUAGAAGCCAGAAGUCCGUAUGAAAUCAACCUUGUUGUU